rnacentral:rRNA from 1 species
CAGUCGCCACGGGAAUACAGAGGGUGCGAGCGUUAAUCGGAUUUACUGGGCGUAAAGCGCACGCAGGCGGUCUGACAAGUCAGAUGUGAAAUCCCCGGGCUUAACCUGGGAACUGCAUUUGAAACUGUCAGGCUGGAGUCUUGUAGAGGGGGGUAGAAUUCCAGGUGUAGCGGUGAAAUGCGUAGAGAUCUGGAGGAAUACCGGUGGCGAAGGCGGCCCCCUGGACAAAGACUGACGCUCAGGUGCGAAAGCGUGGGGAGCAAACAGGAUUAGAUACCCGAGUAGUCCCUGUCUCUUAUAC